rnacentral:rRNA from 1 species
UGAGGAAUAUUGGUCAAUGGGCGAGAGCCUGAAUCAGCCAAGUAGCGUGCAGGAUGACGGCCCUAUGGGUUGUAAACUGCUUUUAUAUGGGAAUAAAGUGAGGGACGUGUCCCUUAUUGCAUGUACCAUACGAAUAAGGACCGGCUAAUUCCGUGCCAGCAGCCGCGGUAAUACGGAAGGUCCAGGCGUUAUCCGGAUUUAUUGGGUUUAAAGGGAGCGUAGGCUGUUUGUUAAGCGUGUUGUGAAAUGUAAGAGCUCAACUUUUAGAUUGCAGCGCGAACUGGCAGACUUGAGUUCGAACAACGUGGGCGGAAUUCAUGGUGUAGCGGUGAAAUGCUUAGAUAUCAUGACGAACUCCGAUUGCGAAGGCAGCUUACGGGAGCGCAACUGACGCUAAAGCUCGAAGGUGCGGGUAUCGAACAGG